rnacentral:lncRNA from 1 species
AAGCAUUAUGCGACAUGAAUUUUGAGAUAUGAUGGAGAGUACGUGAUCGAAUUUUUUUAGGAGUGCGAAGGGUAGGUUAAUGUUUGAUGAUUCUAGUAUAUUUGUGGUGUCAUGAGAUUUCGAGACUUUUAUUGGUUCCAAUGGAACUAUCAUUGAUUUUGACUUUCUUGGUGCUUCGGGUGUAAGGUUCUCCUCAUGCCUUGUUUUUUGUUUUCGUGAGUAAACAAGUAUUUUCUUGCCACUUUGUUUUUUUGCAUCUAUCCCUAAUUCAAGUUUCAUCCUGUAAAUUGCAUAGAAGGACUAGGUGGUAUGUUGACUUCCAGAGGGAAAAGAUCUAAGUUUAGGUAUCGAUUUUCACUUACAUUUUCCCCUUGAAGAGAGGUUCUAUGGAAGUAUGGUUUAUUUUCAAAGAACGUGAUGUCGAGAAUAAUAAUCACUACAACACAAGUUUUGGCAGGAACUAUUUCAACUCAUGGGUACACAAUUCCACUUAAGCUCUAUUUAUCACCCUUAAUCAGAUGGACAAACUGAAAGACUCAAUCAAUUACUAGAGACGUACUUAAGGUCCAUGACAUAUGAACAUCCUAAACAGUGGGAAAGAUGGUUUUCAUUGGCAUAGUGGUGGUAUAAUACGUCUUACCAUUCCUCCAUAAGAAUGACUCUCUUUAAAGCCCUUUAUGGAACCAAGCUACCUCAAUAGUCUCAGGAUCAUAACAGCAGUCAAAUGUUGCAGCUGUGGAAGAGUGGCUUCAACAAAGAUAUGAAUUAAAUUAGUAGUU